GGUUGAUGAGGGGCUGCGAAGGGGCGGGGUGGGAUCUUGGUCCAGCUGGUACUGGAGCGGCGACAGUUUUGGCUAGUCUAAGAAGGGCAUUCGAGUGACCGUUGACAACGGGUGGGACAGCGUCAGAGCUGGAGGGAGAGCUAGCACUGUAUGCUUCCAGGACUCCUAGCUAGGUGCAUUAGUUUUUAUUUUUAAGAAUUGGGUGAAAGACUCUAAUUAGUUAGCAUCUCACUCAUUGGCGAUUUUCUACGGGAUGGUUUCAUCCAAAGAGGAUUUCAUAAUCGCACUGUGUGGCACCAUUAGGGGACUUAGAGUGUCACUCGCCGCCAUAAAUCCUUUCGGGAACAAGCCAGGAUAUAAAUAAAUAAAGCUAGGUGUGGGUCUUCCCUUCACAAGGCGCUGGUAGGCAGACUAAAGACAGGCAACAGCUGAGUGUGCACACAGAACUAAAUAUUGAACGAAAUACGAGUGUCGGAAUAAAAUUCAUUGCCAUGUGCACAGCUUAUGAUUAUACAGAUCUUGGACAUAUCACGGACCUGAACGUCAACCCUACAACACCGAAUAAAAUAUCUAAUGUAGCUGGAAUAGAUUCUGAAAGGACAUUAGGCAUUAUCUAAAUCAAGUCCCUCAUUUUACAGAUGAGUAAACUGACUCGGUGAAGUAUUUUGCUCAAGGUCAUUCAUCAAGUUAGUAGUCUAAUUAACUCAGUGUUCUAGGAAGCAGGGUGGUAGAAAAGCAUGGGCUUCGGAGUCUGAAAUCUUUCUUGGUUUCCCGUCCUUGUAGGCUGUUCUACAAGUGUAUCUUGGGCAAAUCCCUUAACGUGUUGCCAUUUAUUAAGUGCUUACCACGUGGCAAACAAUCCACUUUGCAUGCUGUGUCAAUUACAUGCAGUAUGUCGUGUAGUUAUUACUGUACCCAUUUUAUGAGGUAGUUUAGGUUUAAAGAUAUUAGAAAUUUACCCAAAGUUACACAGCUAUAAACACUAGUAAUUUCAAACUCAGGUCUUCCUGACUGCAAAGGCUGCUCUCUUAAAUGUUGCAAUACAUUAGAGCUCCGGAUUCUCUCCCACUCAAAACAGGGACUGAGACUCCAACCAAUUUCCACCAUUCUUGGGAGUCACACGAGAGAGACUGUGGCAAUGUAUUCUAAGCUGUAAAAAGGAUAAACAUAUUCACUAGAUUUGUAGAAUGAAGAUAUUCGUUCCCUAUACUUUCCACUACAACAAUUGAACCAGAAAGAUGGCUUUCAUACUAAGCUAGCAUAAGAAGGAACUUAACUGUAAUUAUGAUAUUCUAACAAAGAAUAUAUGCAUAUCUAAAGCAAUAACCAAAGUGAAUAGAAUAAAAUUUAAUUCCUGAUAGAUUAAAUAGGCAAUAGCAAGGAAUACUAACGCUCCUCAUAGCGUCCUUAUUGGAAGAAUCGUCUAGGAGGCAUUGGGAUUUCUGGUGCUUUUUAAGCAAUGAGAGGUAUCAGUCCACUGAAUGAGAAAGAGAAUAGCGUUUAGUUUGGGACUAAAAGUUCCUCUGGACUACGGAAAAAACGUUUGCCUCUAUCAGUGAAGAAGGUAUGCUGAGAGCUGAAAGAAAAGGAAAGAAGCAACAGUGAGAGCUCAGUAAUUCCCAGACUGUUUUGACGCCCAAGAACUUGACAUAUGACCCAUCACUACUAGACCCCCACAACUGCAUUAGAUUUGUUCAGGAUUUUCAUAUAAUUUCCAUACCUGGCUAAGGAUUGUUGUUUUCUGCUUGUUGCUUUCUGAAAUUCUACUGGACCUAAUGCCAAAAGAUGAUCAAGAAGAGCAUGAAAAAAAAUCCCCUGGAUCCAUUGGCUUUCUUCCCUAUACUGACAACAAUUUACAUGUGUGAGAGAUGCAUGCCUCAACCCAGGUCCCCUUCUUUCAUCUGCAAAGUCAGCAGCCCCUGCACAUCAUCUCCUGUAAUAAACUCCCUCUGUCUCCUCCGUAUAAGGUCACUGAGGGUUACAUUAUGGUCCAUGAUAUAAGAAAAUGAAUGUCUAUUGCUUUUCUCUUGAUAUUCAUGGCACUGCUCCUCUCCAUCCAUAGGAUUAUCUUAU